UCGAAAGAGCAUGAAAGAUGGAGGGAAGAUUGGAGGGAAGAUUGCAGCCAUUUAUCGACUGGAAUUGCAGGUGUCGACGUGUCGAUCAAAAUUAAAGUAUUUAGAGGUUUUCCUCAAUUUUGCCU
rnacentral:sRNA from 1 species